rnacentral:rRNA from 1 species
AACGAACGCUGGCGGCAGGCUUAACACAUGCAAGUCGAACGCAUCCUUCGGGGUGAGUGGCAGACGGGGGAGUAACGCGUGUGAACGUGCCCUUCAGUUCGGGAUAACCCAGGGAAACUUGGGCUAAUACCGGAUACGUGCGAGAGCAGAAAGAUUUAUCGCUAAAGGAUCGGCCCGCGUCUGAUUAGCUAGUUGGUGGGGUAAUAGCCCACUAAGGCGACGAUCAGUAGCUGGCCUGGGAGGAUGAUCAGCCACAUUGGGACUGAGACACGGCCCAAACUCCUACGGGAGGCAGCAGUGGAGAAUAUUGGACAAUGGGCGCAAGCCUGAGCCAGCCAUGCCGCGUGAGUGAGGAAGGCCUUAGGGUUGCAAAGCUCUUUCGUCCGGGACGAUAAUGACGGUACCGGAAGAAGAAGCCCCGGCUAACUUCGUGCCAGCCGCCGCCGUAA